CCGUCCACUCUUAGCGGAAGUUCGUCACGGCGCGGUUUCCCCCGCGCAGCGGAUGUGUGUCGCCGCUUAAGUGACGCUAGGAAGCGCUUGCAGCCUUCGCCGCUGCCUUCUGGUUGAAGCACUAUGGAGGAAGAGAGGAAGAACAACAACAAACGGUGGUAUUUUACUCGAGAACAGCUGGAAAAUAGCCCAUCCCGUCGUUUUGGCCUGGACCCAGAUAAAGAACUUUCUUAUCGUCAGCAGGCGGCCAAUCUGCUCCAGGACAUGGGGCAACGUCUUAACGUCUCACAAUUGACUAUCAACACUGCAAUAGUAUACAUGCAUCGAUUCUACAUGAUUCAGUCCUUUACACAGUUCCAUCGAAAUUCUGUGGCUCCAGCGGCCUUAUUUCUAGCAGCCAAAGUAGAGGAGCAGCCCAAAAAAUUGGAGCAUGUCAUCAAGGUAGCACAUGCUUGUCUCCAUCCGCAGGAAUCACUUCCCGAUACUAGGAGUGAGGCUUACCUGCAACAAGUUCAAGAUCUGGUGAUACUAGAAAGCAUAAUUCUGCAGACUUUAGGCUUUGAACUAACAAUUGAUCACCCACAUACACAUGUGGUAAAGUGCACUCAACUUGUUCGAGCAAGCAAGGACUUAGCACAGACUUCUUACUUCAUGGCAACCAACAGCCUGCAUUUGACCACAUUUAGCCUGCAGUACACACCUCCUGUAGUGGCCUGUGUCUGCAUUCAUCUGGCUUGCAAGUGGUCCAACUGGGAGAUCCCAGUCUCAACUGAUGGGAAGCACUGGUGGGAGUAUGUUGACGCCACUGUGACCUUGGAACUUUUAGAUGAACUGACACAUGAAUUUCUACAAAUUCUGGAGAAAACCCCCAACAGGCUCAAACGAAUUCGGAAUUGGAGGGCAUGCCAAGCUGCCAGGAAAACAAAAGCGGAGGAUCGAGGAGCAGAUGCGAACACUUCGGAGCAGACAAUCCUCAAUAUGAUUUCCCAAAGCUCUUCAGACAAAACUAUUGCAGGUUUAAUGAGCAUGUCAACAACUUCUACCACAAGUGCAGUGCCUUCCGUUCCAGCCACUGAAGAGUCAUCCAGCAACAUAAGCAGUGUGGAUGUGUUGCAGGGCGAGCGUUGGCUGUCCUCCCAACCUCCUUUUAAACUAGAAUCUGCUCAGGGUCAUCGGACUAGUGAGAAUGUAGCACUUAUAGGAGUUGAUCAUUCCUUGCAACAGGAUAAUUCAAAUGCAUUUACUUCCCAGAAGCAGAAUAGUAAGAGUGCACCAUCAGCUAAAGUAUCACUGAAAGAAUACCGUGCAAAGCAUGCAGAAGAAUUGGCUGCCCAGAAGAGGCAACUGGAGAACAUGGAGGCCAAUGUGAAGUCACAGUAUGCAUAUGCUGCCCAGAAUCUCCUGUCUCAACACGAUAGCCAUUCUUCAGUCAUUCUGAAAAUGCCCAUAGAGGGCUCAGAAAAUCCUGAGCGGCCUUUUCUGGAAAAGUCUGACAAAACAGCUCUCAAAAUGAGAAUUCCAGUGGCAAGUGGGGAUAAAGCUGCUUCUUCAAAACCAGAGGAGAUCAAAAUGCGCAUUAAAGUCCAUGCUGCAACUGACAAGCACAAUUCUGUGGAUGACAGUGUCACAAAGAGCCGAGAGCACAAAGAAAAGCACAAGACUCACCCAUCUAAUCACCAUCAUCAUCAUAAUCACCACUCACACAAGCACUCUCACUCACAGCUUCCAGCUGGUACUGGGAACAAACGGCCAGGUGAUCCAAAACAUAGUAGCCAGACAAGCUCAUUAGCACACAAAACCUAUAGCUUGUCUGGUUCUUUCUCCUCUUCCAGUUCUGCUCGUAAAAGGGGUCCCCCUGAAGAUACUGGAGGAGCAGUGUUUGAUCAUCCAGCCAAGAUUGCCAAAAGUACUAAAUCCUCUUCCAUGAAUUUCUCCUUCCCUCUUCCUACAAUGACCCAGUUGCCUGGGCAUAGCUCAGACACAAGUGGCCUUCAUUAUUCACAGCCUAGCUGUAAAACUCGAGUUCCUCAUAUGAAACUGGAUAAAGGCCCCACUGGGGCCAAUGGUCACAACACAGCCCAGACAAUAGACCAUCAAGAUACUGUGAAUAUGCUUCACUCCCUUCUCAUUGCCCAGGGUGUUCAGCCCACUCCACCCCCUGCAUUUGAAUUUGUUCAUUCUUAUGGUGAAUAUCUGAAUCCUCGGGCUAGUGGAGGAAUGCCCUCCAGAUCUGGCAAUACAGACAAACCCCGACCACCACCUCUACCUUCAGAACCUCCUCCACCACUUCCACCCCUUCCUAAGUAAAAAAGAAAAAGAAGAGGAGAAGAAAAACUUCUUUAAAAACACACUUUUUUUUUUUUUUUUUUAACUACUGAUUCUGGACUAAGAACAUUACUUUCCUAAUGAAAUAUGUCUCCCUACUUGGACUAGGGAAUAAAUUAAUAUUGAGACAUAGGUGGGAGGAUGGUAGAGGGCCUUGGUUAUUGUACCUGCUGCCUCUGAAAUUUAACUAUUUUAUAGUUUUUACUGGUAUUAGAGAGCUGAGAAUGUGUUGAAGCUGUGAAAGAUUGAGAAUACUUUCUCUGUUCUUGGCCUCUCCACCUCCUAAUUAGGUUGUUUAGAGUUGAUAUCCUCCCUCUUCUUGCCAGGACUGAAAUAUGGAGGGUUUGUUAUAUCAGACAGUUGUGGAUCCUUUUGGUAUUCAGUAUGUCAGAAGAGAGGAAGUAUUUAAACAUCAUCAUCUUUUAAGAGACUUAAAAAAAUAAUUUAAAGAAAUCUACUAGUGAGAAUACGGUGUGGCCUUUAGAACAUAAAGGAAGGAAGAGGCAUGCAUUCAUCUUGGUAUUUCCCCCUGUCUUUAUGUUGCAAUUGAAUGGUAGCCUUCCAAACUCUAGUUUGGGCAAGUGCAGCCCAUGGCCUGAUUUUGGACUCCAUUAUAAAACUUUUUUUUUAUCCUUUGUUUCUUUUGAUUCAGAAUAAAGGUGGGGUUGAGGAAGGUUUGGAAAGCAAGGUUGGUUUCUGUCGUACAGAACUGGGUGUGUAUUUUCCAAGUUGGGCCUUGGGGAAGUGUUCAAGUGAGAGCAAUCUCGGGGUCUCAAAUGGGAAAGGGUAUAUGCUAAACAUCCUACUUGUGGAAGCCCAGACCAUAUGUGAAAAUAGUUCUGGGAGAAGCCAUGGAGCUAGAGCAUCCUGAAAACAGUGAAAUCGUGAUUUGGAAUUUUUGGGGACAAUGUAUUUUAAAUUAUAUUAUAAAUGUGAUACUUUUUUAUCUGUAUAGCUGAAGAGAAACAGCUGCAUCCUACAUUUUUGUAGCCUGUAUGUCAUCAGAGAUUAGAGCUUGUGAAUUUAAUAGUACCAUGCCAUGAGGGUGAGCAAGCCUAGACCACAUACACUGUUAUGUUAGAUUGUUCAUUUUUGGUGGUUUUAGAUACUAGGCAGAGGUUCUUCAGAUUUCUAAAAAUCCUUUUAAAAAGUGGAUUAAGUGUCUGUUCUUAUGGGUGCUUGAUUAUCCCAGAUUUUAGGAGUGAACAUUUUUGUUGAGAACAGAAAUCUUUUAAGGGGCUAGAAGAAUUCUAAUAAACCAAGUUGUCUAACUGAAAAUGCCACCUGGCUACAGAUUGUUUGAUACCAUAUUCUUUGGUCUUCAUGGCAAUUUUUGCUGUGGAAAUAUGAUGCAGUUUGAAUGUGUAUUUUUUUUAAUGCAGUUUACUUCACACCAAAUAGUCUUUCUGGACAAAUUGAAAUUUUUGUUGGAAGUCAUAGGGAGAUGGAAGUUGUACAUGUGCUGCUGCUUGCAAGGAACAAUUUGGGGAGAACACUGAAGCAGUUGGAAUUAAUUAUGCACUGGCCUAAUACAGGAAGGAAUUUGUAUAGUAAACCUAAUUGAAGGUGAAUUAAUGUCCAGCAUCUUUGCAUAUUUGAACUGUCUACAGUGCCUGCCAUUGCUGUAUAAAAUGAGCUCUCUGCCAACCUGUAAACUAGUAUAAUUUUUACUUGGAAUGUCACUUUCACUAUUAUAGAUGACAUUUUCUUCUUUCUCCUUGAUAGUUUGUGUUCUAAUCAGUAGAUGUGUGACAUUUUUACUAAAUAUAGGCUAUUUGUUUAGAUUUUGUUUGGUGGAGUCUGCUCUUUCCAGAAGGUUAUUUUGUUUGCAUCUGUAUCUUGGUGGAAUUGAUCACUGAUUUGAUUAUGAAAAUGUCUUUUCCAGCUUUUGAUUUUUCUUACCAAACGAUGCAUAUUUUUAAUCACAUGCACUCCCUCACCACAGAGACAUACAUAUCUGCUUGGCCUCAUUAGCAUUGCUCCAUGGCAGUGUAGUUAGUUCCUUAGAACUUUGUCAGGAGUGAACUAGAAAAAUGUUCUGCCUAGAGCCUGAGAGCUGCUUUAUGUCAUGUAGUAUGGCCUAUGCACCCUACUAGAUCAUUGCUGGUAUAAUCAGUUUAGAGACUUUUCUAUAUUAAUGCCUCCUGAUACUGUUUAAAUUACCUACCAUAUCUGUUUUUAGAUCUGUGUAUAUGUUCUGAACCACCUUAUGGGCUCUGCAUGAAGCUGUUGCAUUGUCUUUGGGUUAGCAGUGCACCUGUCAGCUAGCAUGUAUAUUGUCCAAAUUUGCACAAACUUAGGCUUUGAAGGGCUGUUUAGUUUCUAAACUGUGUCUUCUCUACCCUCACCCCUUCAAAGGGCGAGAAAUGGCGUUUAUAUAGCCAAAGUUAGUCUAGUAAACAUGGCUUUUUUCCUCCUCCUUUUAACCUAAACUGUUGAGGAUAAGUAGUGAUAAGCAGGCCUGAAGCCUCAAGUUCUGUAAAUCUGAUCGUAAACUGUGCUUGAAUCUCAUGUUGGCAAAAACAAAUACCUGUGGAUUGUCUUUAGGGCUUUUAAUCAGUACCUGUGUUGCUCUUAGCUGAACUCUAAUGAAGCAUUAAUCUAAAGCUAAAUUGGUCUUCUGAAGUAUCAGUUAAGCUUUUUGGGUUUAGAAAAUACAUAGGAAUUAGUUUAGUCUUUUCACUCAUGAAUCAAUGUAUUUCCAUAUCUGAGACCCUUGGCUUGCUUUUUUUCUUUUUAAUGAUUUUACUGUUUUGAUUUAAUGUAUUUUUUUUUAGUUCUUUAUUAUUGGCUUCACCUGUGUUGAUAGAGCAUUUUAAAAUCUAUAGUUGGAAACAGCAAUGGAUUAGGAUACAUAAAUAAAAUCAUGGUAACAUUAGUGCUGGAUUUCCUUAAGCCUCUGCUACCUAAAUUCCCCUCAUACUUUGCUUCUUGGACAAAGGCAGUUAGAGGGGGUCUUAUCCCAGUAUUUUUGAAUUUUAAACAUAUCUGUGUUUCUCACAGAAACACAGAAACUGUGGAAACUUUGGAAAUUAUUACUUUUUUAAAAACAAUUCUUUUGUUGAUGAGUUAUUUUGAUACUAAUGCUAGGAAAAGGGAGAUUUGAGAACAUCUUGAAGUUGGAAUACAAAUACUAUUCUCUUGGGUUUUGGAGAAUUGAAGCAGUCUAUGCAACCCUUCACAGGGUGAGAAAUGAGUCCUCUGCAACCCCACUAAGCCUUCAGUGACUUUGAUACCUCCCCAGAUUUCUUGUGUUGCUGCUUGUUAACACCUAGCUUUUAACUGAAUAUUUGCUCCUGAUGGUUUAAGAAAUGUUCAUGUGGUAUCACCUUGUCAAGUUUUAUUUUAUUUUUUUAUCCCUCUGGAUGUGAUUUUGAAAUAAGCAUGGUACUGUAAUCCCACCUGAUAGAAUGGUCUAGAAUGAGAACUAUUUUUUAGUGGGAGAUCCUUCUGUUUUAAUGUUUCUAAAGUUUUUAAUAUGAACUUGGCAAUGGAAAAGGGAGGAAAAGAAAAUGUUUACUAAAAAGUAGUGUCUACUCUUUCCCUUUAUGAGUGUAUAUUCAUGGUUGAAUGAAAGGAAGAGAAAGACUCUAGGGUUUUCUGUUCUUAUGUUAAGUGUGGAGAGGGAUGCUUGACAGCAUGCUAAUUGAAGCCAGAGCAAGUGUGUAUCCAUCAAGUUAUCAGGAAGUCUUCAUAUGAAAGCUGAGGAUCUGAUUAGUGGUUGAUCACAUUGGAAUUGAUUACAAGAUGGAGGUGCUGGCUGGGCUAAGCACCCAAAGAAAACAUUGCAGCAGCCUAAUUUAAUGUUAACCUAGGCUUCUGGAUUUGAAACUGAGCUUUUCCCUACCUUACUCCACACACCUGAAAUUGUCUGUUUCCUUGUCAGACCAAAGAGCAAAAGAAGGGGAAAAAAAAAAAAAAAAAAAAAGCUAAACACUUUACCAACCCAUGUCACUCAGGUACAAUUUUGUGGUGAUAUUUUGUCUGUUUUCUUUGUAUUGCUCUUAAGAGUCUUUUCUCAGCAUAUUACUCUGCCGUUGCCUCUGUCCUCCUUGGGGCAUCUCAGUUCUGAAUGCUACCCCUGGUGUAUCUACUGCUGUUAUGUGAAUGGUAGGAUGUAAGUGACCAUUACAGUAAGGGCUCUUUGUAAAAAAUUAAAAAAAAAUUUUUUAAAUUUAAAAAAGAAUGUUGUAUACAUUUUAUAGUCUGGCUAUCAGUUUGAUAUAUUGCUGUCAAGUAUGUUUCUCAAUCUGUAUUUAUCCAUCCCAUCAAUAAAUGUUAAUUACAAAACAUUUACCUGAUUAUUACUGUUUUUGCAUACUGAGUCUU